GGCAACCUCCAACUCAGGAUGGUCUUUGGGGGCAAUCAGGGUUGGAGAGAAUCAAAGAACAUCUGGAAAAGAGCAUAUUUCAAGCUCCUUCACACCCUGCUUGUUUCAUAUUUCAACAGAUCAAUGCACUAAAGCACUUCUGCGGCCCUGAGAAAAGCAGCCUCAACUAAUUCUUUGGGAUUAGGAUAUUUCAGCAAGGCGAAGAGGGGAAACCAGAGGCGACCCGCACCCCUGAUGGACACCAAACGUUACACCUGCAACAACUCUGAUGGGUAAUGUGUAGCAAGAUGUGCCAUCAGGUGGUCCUGAGGCUCCUGGGAAAGUAUCCCAAGAGGAUUCACCGUUCAUGGCAUCAGCUUCACUUAAGGGCUUAUGGAUUUAGCACAUUGCAUGGGACCUCAUUCUACCUGCUACCUCCUGCUCUGUGUGAAGGGUGCCCCAUCCUCUUGUCUGGGUGGUACUGCUCUCUGGUGCUGCUUUCUUCUCCUUGUGACUUUGUUAUCCUUCAGAAGGCAGAAACACCAUGGUUUGGGUGAAGGUAAGACAGUAACUAAUCCUUGAGUACCUGUUACUGUGCCACAGCAGCCCCCUGGACCAAGAACCUGGGAUCAAGGCCAUGCACAAUAACUGCAAAUCCUUCUACCUCAUUACAGUACAGCAGGUGGCGAUGUGUGUGCCAGACUUGU